GAGUUUGAUCCUGGCUCAAGAUGAACGCUGGCGGCAUGCCUAAUACAUGCAAGUCGAACGGGAGACCUUCGGGUCUCUAGUGGCGAACGGGUGAGUAACACGUAGGGAACCUGCCCGCGCACCGGGAAUACGCUCUGGAAACGGAGAACAAAUCCCGAUGUACAGGAAGGAGGCAUCUUCUUUCUGUGAAACAUCCUUUAGGGGAUGGGGCGCGGAUGGACCUGCGGUGCAUUAGUUGGUUGGCGGGGUAAAGGCCCACCAAGACGAUGAUGCAUAGCCGGCCUGAGAGGGCGGACGGCCACAUUGGGACUGAGACACGGCCCAGACUCCUGCGGGAGGCAGCAGUAGGGAAUUUUCGUCAAUGGGCGCAAGCCUGAACGAGCGAUGCCGCGUGAGUGAAGAAGGCCUUCGGGUCGUAAAGCUCUGUUGCGGGGGAAAAAAGGCAGCAUCAGGAAAUGGGUGCUGACUGAUGGUGCCCCGCCAGAAAGUCACGGCUAACUACGUGCCAGCAGCCGCGGUAAUACGUAAGUGGCGAGCGUUAUCCGGAAUGAUUGGGCGUAAAGGGUGCGCAAGCGGUCCUGCAAGUCUGGAGUGGAACGCAUGAGCUCAACUCAUGCAUGGCUUUGGAAACUGGANGACUGGANAGCA
rnacentral:rRNA from 1 species